rnacentral:other from 1 species
AGAGUCCUGAUGUGUCCGUUAGUUUUCCCAAGUUUUGACCGAACACAUUGCCAAAAGGGAGUCCGGAAGUUCUUAAAUAGCGCAAAUGCCUGUGAAAGCAGGACUUGCAAAAUUUAAGACAGGGCACCCACCUGCCUAGAGCGGGUUCAAAACGUUGGCAUUCACAACGACGGCACAAUUGGGACCCUC